AUAUUGUUAAUAUUUAAUUGACUAUUUGUCAAUUUCAUCAAUUCAUAUAUGUGUUCUUGGCUUGAUUGAAGUCCUAAAGUAUUUAAGGAAUUUGUUACUUUUUUUGCUUUGGGUAAAUGGAUUGCUCUCAUAGUUAGUUCAUAGACUUUGAGUAUUUUGUAUAAUUUACAUGUUAAAGUAUUGCUAUUUUAAUUUCAACAUUUGCACUAUACCAUAAAAAUUUUAAACAGGCGAAACAUAUCUCUGUGUCAACAAUUUGUUAUUCAUUAUGUUCUUUUGAAUAGCCAUAUUUUGGAUUUGUUCUUUUGGGUAGCCAUAUUUUGGAUUUUAUCAAUCCGGAGAUUUUACAUAUUCUUUUAAACUCAAGUUUUUGACAAUUUUUUUUUUAUCCCAAAGGAAUGCAAUUUUUUUCUAAUGAGUUUAAAGAUUAUUGUUAAAAUGAAAUUGUUAUGUUACUGAGGAUUGUCUGUGCUUUUAGUUUUUGAAAAACUUUAAAUAUAUAUAUUUGUCCUGCUAUAUCUAGAAAUUUCUGAUUAUAUGGUCAACAUAUUGUGGAAAUGUUUUGUGUGACUUUGUAUAUGUGAAUAUAGAUACCAGUUUCUUGAAAGGCAUUCUUUUUUUUAUGCUGGAAAUAGUAUUUGUAUUCUUUAAUACAUAUAUAUGUAUACAUUUCACUGAUACAUGUUAUGAAUCCUGUCCAAAACAAACCUUGAGGGUUUGAAGAUUUUGUUCAUGUCUGUUGUUGUUUUUAUACAGGUUAAAUAUUUUUCUGUUUAUCCAGUUACAUAAGUCCAGUUUGGAUAGAUUUAUUGUUUUGGGGAUACAAAGUUGAAAAUUUAGUGAACAUAUUUUAAAGCAUACAUUUGUAAAUGACAUUGAACAAGUUUUUUUCUUUAUACAUUUUGAUAAUGUUAAUGUUGUAAUCAC
rnacentral:lncRNA from 1 species